rnacentral:rRNA from 1 species
UACGUAGGGACCGAGCGUUGUCCGGAAUCAUUGGGCGUAAAGAGCGUGUAGGCGGCUAUUUAAGUCCUGCGUGAAAUCCUGCGGCUCAACCGCAGACGGUCGUGGGAAACUGGAUGGCUAGAGUGCGGGAGAGGAGAGUGGAAUUCCCGGUGUAGCGGUGAAAUGCGCAGAUAUCGGGAAGAACACCCGUGGCGAAGGCGGCUCUCUGGAACGCAACUGACGCUGAGACGCGAAAGCGUGGGGAGCAAGCAGG